rnacentral:rRNA from 1 species
AUUGAACGCUGGCGGCAGGCCUAACACAUGCAAGUCGAACGCAGUGGGGACGGGUGAGUAACACGUGGGUAACCUCCCAUCAGAGGGGAUAACACUUGGAAACAGGUGCUAAACCGAUACUGAUGGAUGGACCCGCGGUGCAUUAGCUAGUUGGUGAGGUAACGGCUCACCAAGGCCACGAUGCAUAGCGUCCCUGCGGGGGUGAUCGGCCACACUGGGACGUAUACACGGCCCAGACUCCUACGGUAGGCAGCAGUAGGGAAUCUUCGGCAAUAGACGAAAGUCUUAUCGAGCAACGCCGCGUGAGUGAAGAAGGUUUUCGGAUCGUAAAACUCUGUUGUUAGAGAAGCGGUAUCUAUCCAGAAAGCCACGGCUAACUACGUGCCAGCCGCCGCGGUAAUAC